rnacentral:rRNA from 1 species
CAGUCGCCGCGGGAAUACGAAGGGUGCAAGCGUUACUCGGAAUUACUGGGCGUAAAGCGUGCGUAGGUGGUGGUUUAAGUCCGUUGUGAAAUCCCCGGGCUCAACCUGGGAAUGGCAGUGGAUACUGGCUCGCUAGAGUGUGUCAGAGGACGGUGGAAUUCCCGGUGUAGCGGUGAAAUGCGUAGAGAUCGGGAGGAACAUCAGUGGCGAAGGCGGCCAUCUGGGACAACACUGACGCUGAGGCACGAAAGCGUGGGGAGCAAACAGGAUUAGAUACCCCGGUAGUCCCUGUCUCUUAUAC